rnacentral:tRNA from 1 species
GUGUGGUUGGUUCAGUUGGUAGAGCACUCCACCUGUAAUGGAGAGGUCCCGGGUUCGAUAUCCGGACCAGGCG